GGAUGAAGAACGUAGCGAAAUGCGAUAAGUAAUGUGAAUUGCAGAAUUCAGUGAAUCAUCGAAUCUUUGAACGCACAUUGCGCCCGCCAGCAUUCUGGCGGGCAUGCCUGUUCGAGCGUCAUUUCAACCCUCGACCUCCCCUUGGGGAGGUCGGCGUUGGGGACCGGCAGCACACCGCCGGCCCUGAAAUGGAGUGGCGGCCCGUCCGCGGCGACCUCUGCGCAGUAAUACAGCUCGCACCGGGACCCCGACGCGGCCACGCCGUAAAACACCCAACUUCUGAACGUUGACCUCGAAUCAGGUAGGACUACCCGCUGAACUUAAGCAUAUCAAUAAGCGGAGGA
rnacentral:misc_RNA from 1 species